UCCCUCUUAGCUCAGUUGGUAGAGCGCUACACUAGUAUUAAUCUAGAGCACCUUCGGGAUUGCGACAUGUAGCGGUCAGCCGUUCGACUCGGCUAGCGGGAA